rnacentral:SRP_RNA from 1 species
GGCAGGACUAGGCUGGGGGGUCAGGCGUCCCCUGUAACCGCAAACCGUCUUUAUGGCGGAGCCGAAGCCUGAGGGCGGUGUUAGAGGUUAUGCAGGUCCAGGUCCUUAACUGUGAGGUUCUGUCCUGCUUGGUUAUCGGCAUGAUGAACCAGGUCAGGCGCGGAAGCGAGCAGCCUUAAGUUGUGCCGGUAAUGCUUGCAGGGUCGCAGAACCAAGAAGAGGGCCUGUCAAACCUGUAUAAUUUUCUAACACCCACCGGGGGCAUGUCCUGCC